UACGUAGGGUCCAAGCGUUAUCCGGAAUCACUGGGCGUAAAGCGUGCGUAGGUGGUUUGUUAAGUGUAUUGCGAAAUCCUGUGGCUCAACCAUAUGGACUGUAAUGCAUACUGGCAAACUAGAGGACGGCAGAGGCAAGUGGAAUUACUGGUGUAGCAGUGAAAUGCGUAGAGAUCAGUAGGAACACCAAUGGCGAAGGCAGCUUGCUGGGCCGACCCUGACGCUAAGGCACGAAAGCGUGGGGAGCGAACAGG
rnacentral:rRNA from 1 species